GAUGAACGCUGACAGAAUGCUUAACACAUGCAAGUCAACUUGAACUUCGGUUUGGGUGGCGGACGGGUGAGUAACGCGUAAAGAACUUGCCUCACAGAUAGGGACAACAUUUGGAAACGAAUGCUAAUACCUGAUAUUAUGAUUUUAGGGCAUCCUAGGAUUAUGAAAGCUAUAUGCGCUGUGAGAGAGCUUUGCGUCCCAUUAGCUAGUUGGAGAGGUAACGGCUCACCAAGGCGAUGAUGGGUAGCCGGCCUGAGAGGGUGAUCGGCCACAAGGGGACUGAGACACGGCCCUUACUCCUACGGGAGGCAGCAGUGGGGAAUAUUGGACAAUGGACCAAGAGUCUGAUCCAGCAAUUCUGUGUGCACGAUGAAGUUUUUUCGGAAUGUAAAGUGCUUUCAGUUGGGAAGAAAAAAAUGACGGUACCAACAGAAGAAGUGACGGCUAAAUACGUG
rnacentral:rRNA from 1 species